AUUGAACGCAGGCGGCAUGCCUUACACAUGCAAGUCGAACGGCAGCACGGGUGCUUGCACCUGGUGGCGAGUGGCGAACGGGUGAGUAAUACAUCGGAACGUACCUUAUCGUGGGGGAUAACGCAGCGAAAGCUGUGCUAAUACCGCAUACGCCCUGAGGGGGAAAGCGGGGGAUCGCAAGACCUCGCGCGAUUAGAGCGGCCGAUGCCUGAUUAGCUUGUUGGUGGGGUAAAAGCCCACCAAGGCGACGAUCAGUAGCUGGUCUGAGAGGACGAUCAGCCACACUAGGACUGAGACACGGCCCAGACUCCUACGGGAGGCAGCAGUGGGGAAUUUUGGACAAUGGGGGCAACCCUGAUCCAGCAAUGCCGCGUGAGUGAAGAAGGCCUUCGGGUUGUAAAGCUCUUUUGUCAGGGAAGAAACACCGGCUCUAACACAGUCUGGGAAUGACGGUACCUGAAGAAUAAGCACCGGCUAACUACGUGCCAGCCGCCGCCGUAA
rnacentral:rRNA from 1 species